UACGGAGGGGGCGAGCGUUAUUCGGAAUUAUUGGGCGUAAAGGGCGCGUAGGCGGCUUGGUAAGUCAAAGGUGAAAUCCCUCGGCUCAACCGAGGAAUUGCCCUUGAAACUGCCUGGCUUGAGGCCGGGAGGGGGUAGCGGAAUUCCCAGUGUAGCGGUGAAAUGCGUAGAUACUGGGAGGAACACCGGUGGCGAAGGCGGCUACCUGGACCGGUUCUGACGCUGAUGCGCGAAAGCGUGGGGAGCAAACAGG
rnacentral:rRNA from 1 species